rnacentral:tRNA from 13 species
GCGGGCGUCGUAUAAUGGUUAUUACCUUAGACUUCCAAUCUAAAGAUGACGGUUCGAUUCCGUUCGCCCGCUCCA